AGAGUUUGAUUCUGGCUACAGGAUGAACGCUGGCGGCGUGCUUAACACAUGCAAGUCGAACGGAGUUUUAAACGGAAGUCCUCGGAUGGAAGUUUAGAAACUUAGUGGCGGACGGGUGAGUAACGCGUGGGUAACCUGCCUCAUACAGGGGGAUAACAGUCGGAAACGAUUGCUAAAACCGCAUAACAUAGCGAAACCGCAUGAUUUUGCUAUCAAAUAUUUAUAGGUAUGAGAUGGGCCCGCGUCUGAUUAGCUAGUUGGUGGGGUAAUGGCCUACCAAGGCGACGAUCAGUAGCCGGCUUGAGAGAGUGACCGGCCACAUUGGGACUGAGACACGGCCCAAACUCCUACGGGAGGCAGCAGUGGGGAAUAUUGGACAAUGGGGGAAACCCUGAUCCAGCCGACGCCGCGUGAGUGAAGAAGUAUUUCGGUAUGUAAAGCUCUAUCAGCAGGGAAGAUAAUGACAGUACCUGACUAAGAAGCCCCGGCUAACUACGUGCCAGCCGCCGC
rnacentral:rRNA from 1 species